GACGAACGCUGGCGGCGUGCUUAACACAUGCAAGUCGAACGGAAAGGCCCUGCUUUUGUGGGGUGCUCGAGUGGCGAACGGGUGAGUAACACGUGAGUAACCUGCCCUUGACUUUGGGAUAACUUCAGGAAACUGGGGCUAAUACCGGAUAGGAGCUCCUGCUGCAUGGUGGGGGUUGGAAAGUUUCGGCGGUUGGGGAUGGACUCGCGGCUUAUCAGCUUGUUGGUGGGGUAGUGGCUUACCAAGGCUUUGACGGGUAGCCGGCCUGAGGGGGUGACCGGCCACAUGGGGACUGAGAUACGGCCCAGACUCCUACGGGAGGCAGCAGGGGGGAAUAGUGCACAAUGGGCGGAAGCCUGAUGCAGCAACGCCGCGUGCGGGAUGACGGCCUUCGGGUUGUAAACCGCUUUCGCCUGUGACGAAGCGUGAGUGACGGUAAUGGGUAAAGAAGCACCGGCUAACUACG
rnacentral:rRNA from 1 species